AACGAACGCUGGCGGCAUGCCUAACACAUGCAAGUCGAACGAGACCUUCGGGUCUUUUGGCGCACGGCUGCGUAACGCGUGGGAACCUGCCCUUAGGUUCGGUAUAACUCCCCGAAAGGGGUGCUAAUACCGGAUAAUGUCUUCGGACCAAAGAUUUAUCGCCUUUGGAUGGGCCCGCGUUGGAUUAGCUAGUUGGUAGGGUAAAAGCCUACCAAGGCGACGAUCCAUAGCUGGUCUGAGAGGAUGAUCAGCCACACUGGGACUGAGACACGGCCCAGACUGCUAGGGGAGGCAGCAGUGGGGAAUAUUGGACAAUGGGGGAAAGCGUGAUAAAGCAAUGCGGGGUGAGAGAGGAAGGGGUUAGGGUAGUAAAGCUCUUUUAGCCGAGAUGAUAAUGACAGUACCGGGAGAAGAAGCACCGGCUAACUACGUG
rnacentral:rRNA from 1 species